rnacentral:rRNA from 1 species
CACGAAACUGUGUGAGCUAAUUUGUUGUGAGUUGCCAUGUAGCAAAAUGGUGUUGAAAUAAAAAAUUAGGGGUGAUAGGCCUUACAAAUACAGUGAUAUCUUGAUUUCCUUGAAAUGUAUCAAUACAAUGACAAGUUUAAAGCUAUAAGGUUUUAAAUUUUGAUAAAAGUCAAUUCACAAUUAGUAAGAUAUAAAAAUUCAUACACCAUAAACUUAUCAUGUAUGUUGCAAGUUUAUCAAUCUUAAAGGAAUAUAUAGCAAUUUAAGAGAUAUUAAUAAUGUUACUAUUAGUAUUUAGAAGUUGUUAGUAGUGAACUCGGCAUUAAGUUUUCAACUGUUUAUCAAAAACAUAGCCACGUGUAAAUACACGUGGUAUUUUCUGCUCAAUGAAUAUUAAAUAGCCGCAGUACUUUGACUGUGCAAAGGUAGCGUAAUCAUUUGUCUUUUAAUUGGAGUCGCGUAUGAACGAAUAUAUGGGGACUUUCUUUACCACUGACAAUUUGAGAAUUUACUUAAUGAGUGCAAAAUCUCAUAGUUAAACAAUAGACGAGAAGACCCUAGAAAUUUGUAGCAAUGUUUUGUUGGGGCAACAUAGUAACAAUCAACUUACUAUAUGUAUAUGAAAUUAUUUAGACAAUGUAAAUUACUCUAGGGAUAACAGCAUAAUAUUAUAAUGUUUGUGACCUCGAUGUUGGAUUAGGGAGUUAUAGUUUAGAA